CUCCAGAUCUGAUUACACAACCUCUGAAGAGCAAACCAUGCCGCUGACUACAAAGCAGAGCAAGAAGCAUGGCGCUGCCUCCCCUGGGCUCGCGUCCAUCUGUCAGUAAUCAUCAGCACACCGGGCGCGCACGCCAGCUGCCCGCCCUGGGGACCCCCUUUCUGCAGGAGCUCGAUCUUCCCGCCGCCGCCCAGGAGCUGGGGACUGGCUUUAGCCCCUAGUCACAGGUCACAGGUUCGAGAAUUUGAAGAAAGUUACAUAUUUUUCUAAAGAAAAACCAAUUUAACCUGUUUCUUUUUGAUGAUCUGAUAGACGGUGAGACAGACGAGACACCUGCAGCAUUACUCCACUGCUUGUGAAACUUUUUCAAGAAGUCCGAGUUCUUCAAAGCAUAGCAUGAGAAUCGCAAAGAUCUGGGGGCCAAGUGGUGUUGCUCUCAGUUGAGAGUAUGUUACCGUGCGCAAGGACCCAGGUUCAUGCUCCUAGUUCUCAACUGCAGUUGUUUCACAAGCGAAGCAGUAUUACAGAUGUCUUCUUCUCUUCCCUUCACUAUCUCCCCCUUCCACCUGUUUCUGUUCCUAUCCAACAAUUAAAAAAAAAAACUGUUGUAAUGCAGUGCUUAAAAAAUUGCAAAGGUUCUUGCUACUUUUUUAGUUUCAGUGUCUGCUACAUACAACCCAUGCUUGUUUCAGAUAUCGGUGACACAUUAGAAAUCUUUUUUUCUUUUAGCAUGCACUCACUCCAAAUGACAAUACUUACCAUUGCCUUGGGCUACCCUAAAUUGUUUUGUUUGUAUUAUUCAUGAUGUUUUGCUUGUGAUAUUUAAUCUGAAAGGCUAGUUGGCUCUAUACAAGUAUAAGUUAGAACUCAAUUCUGCAUUUUAAUCUGAGCAGUCAUAGAGCCUAACAUCUUUACUGUACAAUAUUCAAAACCAUUUAAGUUACGUAUUACUGUGCUUUGAAGUGUUUUAAUAUUCAUGAGACUGAUUAAUAAUUGUGUUUUUCCUUUCAUUGGGAUACUAGUCAUUUUUGUUCAACACUAUCAACACAGUAAUGUGGAAAUUUAAGCCAACCUAUCUUUCAAUGGUAUUUCAACUAUUGGGAAGGAUAGAGAUAUGCAUUUAAGAUGACCUUCAUGUCAGGUAUUUUCUGGAUCUUUCAUUUAGAUUGCUUGGUCAUACGGAAUAUAUUUUGCAGAACUUUGGAUUCUUCCACUAAACACAACUUUUAACACCCCCAUGAUGAGUGCAUUAUGGUUUGCUAGAAGUUCUUGUCUUCUCACUCACUCUGGUUUAAAGUGAUUAUAGGCAGAAAAUGCUGGCUUUAUUAUAAGGAAUA